CGAGAAUUUUUAAAAGCACGUAAUACCUAGUUAUUUGGUUACUGAUUUCUUUUCCCGUAGAUUGUCAAAUAAAAAAAAAAUAUAUAUAUAUAAAGGAAAGAAUAAAGGGCAAAAGAAACUAGCACCCCGGUGUCAGUGUUCCGUCUUGAUCCAAAUGUAAUAUAUUUUCGGGCGUGCUGUAGAAUUUUAGUAAUUACAGCGACUACAAAAAAUAUUUGUACAUAUCCUCAUUUUUCAAUGAAGCGAUCUUUUACUAGAUUCUACAUUUCAUUAUGGUAGUAUCAAAUUGUUUUAAUCAUAUGAAAGUAUUUGCUCUUGAACGAUAUGCAAUUUAUUUUAGUUGGAUCUAAUUAACUAGUAUAUAAAUCAUAAUAGAUAAGUACAAUGGGACACAAAUACUUCUUGUAGUCACUGUAGUUUAUGUGUACCAUAAGAUAAAAACAGUUGAAAAUUGCUGUUAUACAGUCGCGGGUGCCUCGUUUUACCAUCAGACUAUCUUUUUCCCUUCUUUUUCACUGGUCCCUUCUUCUUCUACUACUAUUUCCCUGGAAUGUUUCCUGCCGCUAAAUGCUCAGUAACAUUCGUACCUUAGUUUGCGCUUCACUGGACAUCUUUCUCUUGAAUGUGAUACGAUGCUCUUGUCAACGUUUCGCGACUAUUCCCUUGCGUUCCUAAGGACUCCAGUUUAAAAAAGUAGCGGAAGUGUUGAGUACAUAGUGGCGUCAUUUUUAAAUUUUUGAAAUGGCGCACAGUGCGGCAUUUGUAUGAGGAUUCAGGACAAAAAUCAAAAUUCACUGGUCACGUUUGCACGUUCACAGGCAAUGUUCGCACGUUCGCAGGCCACGUUUGCAAAUCAAAUACGUACGGUUUGUAGAACAGGUUCCUACAUUCGUAGACCACGUUCGCAGGCCACGUUCGCAGGCAAUAUUCGCACGUUCGUACGUUGUCACGUGGCAUUGUAUCGUAAAAGAAAUAGUACUUCUGUUGAAAAAAGGAUCCCAUUUUACAAAUCGAGUAAAAAAAAUUGAGUUCUUAAAGCCAUUUAUCCUUUCAUACUAUAUUUUCUCUACCUCUGCUUAUCACAUUCUAUAAGUAUAAUAUAUUUAACAUAUUAUCAAUUCCAUUACAAUAUUAUUCACAGGAAACAUUAAUCUAUUUUCGUAUCUUAUAUUUCGUUUUACGAUAUUAUGAGAUUUUUUCACGGCCUAUCUAGGAAGCUUUUAAAUAAUAUCCAUUCAAAUGCAUAUAAGCUAUCCAGUUGACAAUAUGUUAAUUAUGAUUACGUAUACAAUGUGUCAUAAAUACCACGUGAAUGAACAAUGGACAACAAAUGAGCCACUCAAAAUUCUGAUCAACUUCUCAUACACUAAGAAAACCGAGAAAAGUGGUGAUGUUGCAAACGUAAUUUUUUCAAAUUUAUCUUGCAAUUUACAAUUACGCAUCUCAUCUUGCUGUAAAUAAACUCAUCAUUGUGUAGCUCAUUUGUCUUUUUAUAUUAUUUAAAUAUUAGCUAUGUACCCGAAUAAUGAAAUUAAUAAAUGUAUAAAAAGUAAA